ACACACUCAAACAAACAAACUCCUCAGCUUCGUUACUCUUCCGUCGUUCUUGGGACCUGUACGGACGUCAAACUUCAAUUUCAAACUAGAGUGAUCUCCCUGCUCUUCCAUUCUGUCAUUUUGCAUUGAUGAAACAGCAACUGGAGUGGGGAAAAGUCAACUUUGACCCUCUCAACAUGAAAGAGAGCGACUCUCCGUUUGGAUCACAACGCUCCUUGCUGCACAGGAUCAACAAAACUUUCCCAGGUGAGCACAAGGCCUAACAUUGAUGCAUCAUUCUGCAACAGAACUGAGACGGACAAACUCACCAAGGGAGUACAUCUCCAGCUGCUGACGCAGUCUCACUUUCUGCAGACUGUCGUAGAAGUUGGGUUCGGUCGUGGCUCCAGCGGUAGGCGGCAGAGCGAAUAUCCUCAUGAUCUUCCUCUUAUUUCUGAUGGGGAGAAUAGAGAACCACAGUAUGAGUCAUAAUACCGAUAAAACCUAGAGGUCAAACAAGGAAAUG